GACGAACGCUGGCGGCGUGCCUAAUACAUGCAAGUCGAACGCAUUUUCUUUCACCGUAGCUUGCUACACCGAAAGAAAAUGAGUGGCGAACGGGUGAGUAACACGUGGGUAACCUGCCCAUCAGCGGGGGAUAACACUUGGAAACAGGUGCUAAUACCGCAUAAUUCCAUUUACCGCAUGGUAGAUGGAUGAAAGGCGCUUUUGCGUCACUGAUGGAUGGACCCGCGGUGCAUUAGCUAGUUGGUGGGGUAACGGCCUACCAAGGCUGCGAUGCAUAGCCGACCUGGGAGGGUGAUCGGCCACACUGGGACUGGGACACGGCCCAGACUCCUACGGGAGGCAGCAGUAGGGAAUCUUCGGCAAUGGACGCAAGUCUGACCGAGCAACGCCGCGUGAGUGAAGAAGGUUUUCGGAUCGUAAAACUCUGUUGUUAGAGAAGAACAAGGAUGAGAGUGGAAAGUUCAUCCCUUGACGGUAUCUAACCAGAAAGCCACGGCUAACUACGUG
rnacentral:rRNA from 1 species